AAAUGAAUAAUAAAAUAAGGAAGAAAAAGAACAAGUUUAGAUUUUUGAAAAAGCUUUCAGGUAAAUCCAGUCGUAUAAGUAAUUAGAUACGAUAUCUCUCGAACGAAAUGAAUCGCGAGAGAGAGAAAGAGAAAGAGAAAGAAA
rnacentral:lncRNA from 1 species